UGGACAUCGAGAUCGCCACCUACAGGCGCCUGCUGGAAGGCGAGGAGCAGAGGCUGUGUGAAGGCUUUGGAGCUAUAAAUGUCUGUGUCAGCAGCUCCCGAGGUGGGGUUGUGUGUGGGGACCUCUGUGUGUCUGGCUCCAGGCCCGUGACGGGCAGUGUCUGCAGCGCGCCCUGCACUGGGAAUGUGGCAGUGAGCACCGGCCUGUGCGCGCCCUGUGGAGGAGGUUCCAUCUGUCAGGGGAGGUUCUAAGUGGCCAGAGAAGAGAGCCAAGGAAGCUCCUCCCAUCUGCCCAAUGUGCCACCGCCCCCGUCCCAGCUGAGGCCAGCGGUGCUUGGUGGCUUUCCCCUUGUGUUCUGAGAAUACACCACUGGGCCCUUC